rnacentral:rRNA from 1 species
CCUACGGGAGGCAGCAGUGAGGAAUAUUGGUCAAUGGGCGGGAGCCUGAACCAGCCAAGCCGCGUGAGGGAAGAAGGUACAGCGUAUCGUAAACCUCUUUUGUCAGGGAACAAAGGCGGGGACUAGUCCCCGGAUGAGGGUACCUGAAGAAAAAGCAUCGGCUAACUCCGUGCCAGCAGCCGCGGUAAUACGGAGGAUGCGAGCGUUAUCCGGAUUUAUUGGGUUUAAAGGGUGCGCAGGCGGCCUGUUAAGUCAGCGGGAAAAGCCCGGGGCUCAACCCCGGCGAGCCGUUGAAACUGGCGGGCUGGAGUGGGAGAGAAGUACGCGGAAUGCGCGGUGUAGCGGUGAAAUGCUUAGAUAUCGCGCAGAACCCCGAUUGCGAAGGCAGCGUACCGGCUCCACACUGACGCUGAGGCACGAAAGCGUGGGUAUCGAACAGGAUUAGAUACCCCAGUAGUC